rnacentral:rRNA from 1 species
UUUGGGUCUUAGUAUUGGUAGUGCGUCGAUGCCAGUCGAGCGAAGGAUAAGGAGCUUGCUCCUUUGACGUUAGCGGCGGACGGGUGAGUAACACGUGGAUAACCUACCUAUAAGACUGGGAUAACUUCGGGAAACCGGAGCUAAUACCGGAUAACAUAUUGAACCGCAUGGUUCAAUAGUGAAAGGCGGCUUUGCUGUCACUUAUAGAUGGAUCCGCGCCGUAUUAGCUAGUUGGUAAGGUAACGGCUUACCAAGGCAACGAUACGUAGCCGACCUGAGAGGGUGAUCGGCCACACUGGAACUGAGACACGGUCCAGACUCCUACGGGAGGCAGCAGUAGGGAAUCUUCCGCAAUGGGCGAAAGCCUGACGGAGCAACGCCGCGUGAGUGAUGAAGGUCUUCGGAUCGUAAAACUCUGUUAUCAGGGAAGAACAAAUGUGUAAGUAACUGUGCACAUCUUGACGGUACCUGAUCAGAAAGCCACGGCUAACUACGUGCCAGCAGCCGCGGUAAUACGUAGGUGGCAAGCGUUAUCCGGAAUUAUUGGGCGUAAAGCGCGCGUAGGCGGUUUUUUAAGUCUGAUGUGAAAGCCCACGGCUCAACCGUGGAGGGUCAUUGGAAACUGGAAAACUUGAGUGCAGAAGAGGAAAGUGGAAUUCCAUGUGUAGCGGUGAAAUGCGCAGAGAUAUGGAGGAACACCAGUGGCGAAGGCGACUUUCUGGUCUGUAACUGACGCUGAUGUGCGAAAGCGUGGGGAUCAAACAGGAUUAGAUACCCUGGUAGUCCACGCCGUAAACGAUGAGUGCUAAGUGUUAGGGGGUUUCCGCCCCUUAGUGCUGCAGCUAACGCAUUAAGCACUCCGCCUGGGGAGUACGACCGCAAGGUUGAAACUCAAAGGAAUUGACGGGGACCCGCACAAGCGGUG